rnacentral:rRNA from 1 species
GUUAGGAAUCUUGGGCAAUGGGGGCAACCCUGACCCAGCCAUGCCGCGUGUGUGAAGAAGGCCUUCGGGUUGUAAAGCACUUUCAAGGGUGAAGAAAGGCCUGGGGCGAAUACCUCCGGGUGUUGACGUUAGCUCUAGAAGAAGCACCGGCUAACUCCGUGCCAGCAGCCGCGGUAAUACGGAGGGUGCGAACGUUAAUCGGAAUUACUGGGCGUAAAGCGCACGUAGGCGGUUCGUUAAGUGGGAUGUGAAAUCCCCGGGCUCAACCUGGGAACUGCAUUUCAGACUGGCGGACUGGAGUCUGGUAGAGGGGGGUGGAAUUUCCUGUGUAGCGGUGAAAUGCGUAGAUAUAGGAAGGAACAUCAGUGGCGAAGGCGGCCCCCUGGACUAAGACUGACGCUGAGGUGCGAAAGCGUGGGGAGCAAACAGGAUUAGAAACCCCGGUAGUCC